UGUCCUACGGGAGGCAGCAGUGGGGGAUAUUGCACAAUGGGGGGAACCCUGAUGCAGCGACGCCGCGUGGGUGAAGAAGCGCCUCGGCGCGUAAAGCCCUGUCAGCAGGGAAGAAAAUGACGGUACCUGAAGAAGAAGCCCCGGCUAACUACGUGCCAGCAGCCGCGGUAAUACGUAGGGGGCAAGCGUUAUCCGGAUUUACUGGGUGUAAAGGGCGUGUAGCCGGGCUGACAAGUCAGAUGUGAAAUUCCGGGGCUCAACCCCGGACCUGCAUUUGAAACUGUUGGUCUUGAGUAUCGGAGAGG
rnacentral:rRNA from 1 species